ensembl:lncRNA novel transcript, antisense to EFNB2
UCUAGAGAACACUUCAGCCCAUAAGGCAAGGGAAAACCCAACGCAGAAAUAAACGCCGGAACAUCUUGUCAUUGUUAAAUAUAUGAUGCAGUCACAUCGGCUUCCUGCUCUGUGGGGCUCGUACUUCCUAGUCUACGGUUCCGUGAGAUGCCUUCGGAGGACUUGGUUAUUUUUGCAUUUGCUCUCAUUAUUGUUCUUUUUGGAAUGAUGUUGUUUUUCCCAGAAGUAGCUGUCCAAUUUGUUUUUUUAAGCGCUGAGCAUUGGGACCACUUAAUUGCCACAAAUGAAUUUCACAUCUUCUGGUGUGUACUGUGUGCAACCUUAAAAUAUAUAUUAGUAAAAAUCUUUCAUUUUAUAUCCCUUGUGUUCUAUAUACCUAUUAUAAAUACGUCCUAUCUUCCUUCUCCCCCUGGACAUCAUAAUUUACUUCCGUCUUAAGGACUCUAAGAGGUCUGCCGUAUGUGCUUCACCUUGACACAGAGCACCGGGCGCUGCAGCCUCCAUCAGUACCGACCCUGCAGCCCUGGCACCCGGACAGCACCGCAUAAACCAAAGUGUCAGGCAGCAGCAGUGAGCUGCAAUUGCAGCCAGCCCUUUCCCCAGCCCCACUCCCUUCUAUGAACUCCUAGCCUUCUUCGCAGACAGCCUAGCAUCUGGCUAAAGGGCACCUUGUUAGCAAACACAAUUUCUAUGAACGGAUUACCCAUGGACUGAAGCUGUUGUUGCCAGCGGCUGGAGGAGGGGACUCCAGACAUGAGUGUUCCAUGAGUGAUGCAGAUGUGGAGUGGAGGUCUCAGAGGCCUGAGUGACCGCAGCACAUGGCUUCGAGGAGGAGACGUGGGACGCGGCACAGCAGUCCGAAUGGGCGUCUUCUGCACAGUCUUCCAGCUUCCAGGGAGCGUGUGUGUUCACCAAGGCCGAAUGCUACAAGACUAGCAAGAGGACCACCAGCGUGAUGAUGAUGACGAUGAAGAUGAUGCAUCCUGAAGCAAUCCCUGCAAAUAAGGCCACUUCGGAACCGAGGAUGUUGUUCCCCGAAUGUCCGGCGCUGUUGCCGUCUGUGCUAGAACCUGCAGACGCGGAGACAGAAAAGGUCAGAGAUAGUUACUGCUGUCCCAGUGCAGACGGACUGCUUUUAUGACCCUUAAAAAUGUGAAAAAUAAGCCAGGCUUAUUACUAACUAGAAGCUGGACUUUGCCUCGCCAAUACCUCGUCUAAGAGCUCAACGCAAAAGGAAAUGAGAGGUAUCUCUAGGAGGGACUUCCCUACCCUCCCAAGCCACAGGGUUUCCUUUGUAUCAUUAUCCAGCAAGAGCACAGACUGUCGGUGACAGCCAGCCCUUGAUCUUGCUUCAUCUUCUAACCCGUGUCAGCCAGCCUGGGGCAGCGGCAGGGAAGAAAAAGGGAAGUGGCCAAUUCUCCAGGUCAGCGGUGAGCGUUUAUGUGGUAUUGCUCUUCCGCCUCCUUUGAGAAAGGGAGUUUCAUGCAAACCUUCAAAGGGCCUGCCUUCUAAAGAAGAGCCCUGCCUCCUGGCAGAACAGAACAGCUCGGGAACGCGGAAGGAGUGAGGGGGCCUGGGAAAAUGUUCAGCUCGUAACUCGUCUGUAUUAUUUGAUUUACACUUAAAAUAUAUUUGGAAGGCAGCAGAAACUCUCACACCGAACAGACUGCCAGCCCAAAUGUUAAGCACUAAAAAACUGCCUGGCAUCAUUAUAUUAUCCAUUUAUCAGUUUGUCACAAGAAUUUGACACAUCUUGUCAUUGAAAGUUAGAAAUAACAACUUCCCUCCUUGACUCUUGGAAAGGGAUGGAAUAUUGCUGCAGACGAUAAAUUUGCACAACGACCAAGCAAGCACACAACAAUCCUAAUACAAAACUGCUGAUGUCUGCUCAACAGCUACUCUAUAAAACCUUCAUUAGCAUGGUAACAAAUACAGAACUAUUUGUUCCAAGACUGUUAAGAAAACGAAGGUCAACGACGGACAAUUUUAUCUGGUAUUCUACACUUUUGUCAGGGACCUGUUUAAUAUUUUCUUUUACAUGGAAAAUGUGAAACAAAAUAACGAUAACCACCUGAAAAAAUACUAUUAUGCAAUAUUUAAAAAUGUUACCAUUUAAAAUUUAGAAGAGGAUCAAUUAAACCCUCUGUGGCUUAGAUAUAAUUAGAUGAGGGAUUAGCACAUUAAUUACAUAUACAUUAACAUCAGCUUUAAGCUGGAGUUGACAACCAGCUUGAUAAAAUGUCAGCCAAUGAAACCUUUGGCCUGACAGAGUAGUUCUAAUAACUGGCACUUACAGCUCAUGAACUCUACUCCUUUGAAUAUAUGACUUUCAUUGGAAUGAGUUAUUUUGUUCUUAUUGAGUGUAAUUAAUAAUGACUCACUGACAGCAAAGAUUCCUGAUCACUGUAACUUCCAGCUAAUCCUAACUGGUUAGAAGUCUUUAGACUCUGCCCUACCUUUUAAGAUACUACUAAGAAUGUGGUACCCACAGACCUCCAUACACACAGAUCAUGCUGUUAUACCUGGAUUUGGUUUUACAAAGGGACUUGUUGUCGAACUUCUUCCAUUUGUACCAGCUUCUAGUUCUGGACGUCUUGUUGGAUCUUUAUUCCUGGUUGAUCCAGCAGAACUUGCAUCUAUAUGAAAAACAAAUGAUUAAUUACGGCACAGACAUCUGACAAUAUCUAGCUUUAGGAGCUGCAUAUAUAUUUCAACAGGCAUGAAUAGCAAUGAACAUAAGAGUCUUUAUGCAAAGUACUGUGAAAUACAAGA